rnacentral:rRNA from 1 species
UACGAAGGGGGCUAGCGUUGUUCGGAAUCACUGGGCGUAAAGGGCGCGUAGGCGGCUUUAUAAGUCGGGGGUGAAAGCCUGUGGCUCAACCACAGAAUUGCCUUCGAUACUGUAGAGCUUGAGACCGGAAGAGGUAAGUGGAACUGCGAGUGUAGAGGUGAAAUUCGUAGAUAUUCGCAAGAACACCAGUGGCGAAGGCGGCUCACUGGCUCGGUACUGACGCUGAGGUGCGAAAGCGUGGGGAGCAAACAGG